GCCCGCAUGGCUCAGGGGUAGAGCGCAUCACUAGUAAACAUACUUCCUUCUCCGAGAUAGAGUUUUACAGCUAGGUUCAAUGAUGAGGUCAUCAGUUCGAUUCUGAUUGUGGGCA